GACGAACCGUGCGAACGUUAUUCGGAAUCACUGGGCUUAAAGGGCGCGUAGGCGGGCCGAAAAGCCAGGGGUGAAAUCCUCCAGCCCAACUGGAGAAGCGCCUUUGGAACUGGCGGGCUCGAGGGGUGCAGGGGCAUGCGGAACUCAGGGUGGAGCGGUGAAAUGCGUAGAUAUCAGGAGGAACACCGGUGGCGAAGGCGGGUCUCUGGGCCGAUACUGACGCUGAGGAGCGAAAGCGUGGGGAGCGAACAGG
rnacentral:rRNA from 1 species